GCAUAUUAAUAAGCGGAGGAAAAGAAACUAACAAGGAUUCCCCUAGUAACUGCGAGUGAAGCGGGAACAGCUCAAGCUUAAAAUCUGCAGGGAAUAAACCCCUUGCCGAGUUGUAGCUUAUGGAGGCAGUUAUCGACUCUACGACAUAGUAAAAGUUCUUUUGAAUAAGACAUCAAAGAGGGUGAAAAUCCCGUAAUUGACUAUGUUACCAAGUAGGGAAAUGUGAACUGUUUUCUUUGAGUCGGGUUGUUUGGGAAUGCAGCCCUAAUUAGGAGGUAAAUUUCUUCUAAAGCUAAAUAUAAGCAAGAGACCGAUAGCAAACAAGUACCGUGAGGGAAAAGAUGAAAAGCACUUUGAAAAGAGAGUGAAAAGUACGUGAAAUUGUUGAAAGGGAACCAGUUGGUAGCCAAGCUUCAUGUUCUGGGUAUUUAUACCCGGUUUGUGAGGUCAACAUCGGUUGUCAGUUCCGCUUGAGAGGAAAUUUUGUGGUUUAGCGGGGUAAGGUAGGAUAAGUGGUUUUCCCUCGGGAAAAUUAAGCCGCUUGUUUGUUAUAGACCCCAUGAAGCCACUGUAUAUACCUAGAAGUGGAGACGACCGAGGAACGCAGUGUUUGUUCUGCAAAGAACAGGCGGGGAGAUUUAGGGGGAUAUUUGUUUUUCUAUGUUUUGUAGACAGCUUGCUGACUAUGAUUAUGGAGAGAUAUAUUUAGCCUUAUAUCUUCACCUAAAAACACUUGGGAUGUUGGCGAAAAGGCACCAAUUGACCCGUCUUGAAACACGGACC
rnacentral:rRNA from 1 species